GAGUGUGCUCCUCCCUUCUCCCCAGGGACUGUUGGCCACCAGCCCAUGAGAACAAAGGAAACAGAGUUGAAGGCCAGGGUUCUGAUUGCCCAUGAGUACAACAGAAAUGACUACCAGGAUAAGCUUCAAAGAAGCAGCUCAAUGUUCAUUGAGAUGAAUCAAGGGCUAUAUAGAUUUUGGGGAAGGGGGUAGGAAUUUCAAGGGUAGGUAUGUACUAUUAGGUACAAUUUAACGUAGCUUAUUUGCAUGGAGGGAUAUUCCAGGAAUUCCAGGUGCUUGCUAUUGGUUCUUAUCAGGAAGGAUAGAAAGGAAGCUGAACCUAUAAUCUAACCAAGACUAAGGGAAAGUCCACAGGUAGAGGGUCGGGGAGGGGGGUUGGCUCCCUAGAUAAGGUCAGAUAAGGAGAAGCCCUGCUGGUAAAGGGAGCCUGGCAUUUUGUGCAGAGAGCUAGAGAGUUGUCUGGACAAUGGUAGACUAUGACCUUAGUUAACAGGGCCCAACACUUGAGAGAUGUUAAACAUCAGUCUUUGAUAGAAUCGUGAAGAAGUUGCUAUUAAUAUGAGGGAAGUACUGCUGCAGCAACAGCAUGGAUGAACUUGCCAGCAAGAGUGAAGACAGGAUUGGAAAGUCAAGAAGGAAAGAGGGUUCUGCGGGAAAGUCUGGACCACUUUCACUGUGCACACGUGUGUCUUCAUCUGUGUAGCUUGUCCUGCUGGAAACCAUUUCCUUCCAUUUUAUAGAUAUCCCGAGGUUUCGCCAAUAGAAAGCACCAGCGACUUAUAGUCUGUCGAGUGGAGACUGAUAUAUGGAAUCUGUUUGAAGAGAAUGACUAAUGGAAAUCCCAUAACAGAGAGACACGUGGAAUAAUGUCUGGAAAUCGGUUAAAAGAAGGAUGAUUCAGUCAAUGGUGCUUUAUUUAGUAAUUGGAAAGAGCCAGAAAAGAGGAUCUUGAAUAUUCUCAUUGCAAAGAAAUGAUCCAUGUUUAAGAUAAAGGACUAAGUAUAUCGAGUUGUUCGGUAUGUAAGAUAAACACAUCCUCAAACAUCAGAGUGUACUUCAUGGAGACAAGCAAUUACUAUCAAUGAAAAGCCACUUGGCAGUAAGUAAGAGUC